GCCACCUUCAAGUGUAGAUGCAGAAGGAGAUCAAUGCACACCACAUCGCAACAGACAAGACAAGCCCAAAGAAUCUUUCCACCAUUUAAAAAUAUCAUGGAUCAGACUCCAGACAUUUCCACAGACCACAAGAGAGAGAAGCAGUCAAAAGCAUCAUCGAACAUCCCAAAGAAUCUGCCAUUGUUUCUCAACAGGUCGUGGUGUAAACCCAAUGAAGACAUGCGAAAUGCGGCAGAGCUCCGAGAUUUGAAUCGCCAGUAUAUUUAUAAAUCACAGAUUUUAGGUUAUUCCGCAAGCUUUAUCUUAAGUGUAAUAACAAUAACCUUAAUGGUUAUUUUUGACUGCCACAUAAGUGGGAGAUGUGACUUCUGCCCAAAAUGCUGCAGACCAACAGCAGAGAUACAGACUGAGAAACAAGGUUCUGCUACAAUGGGACAGGAACUGCAAGGGUCAGGGAGUUCUGCUACAAUGGGACAGGAACUGCAAGGGUCAGGGAGUUCUGCUACAAUGGGACAGGAACUGCAAGGGUCAGGGAGUUCUGCUACAAUGGGACAGGAACUGCAAGGGUUGGGGAGUUCUGCUACAAUGGGACAGGAACUGCAAGGGUUGGGGAGUUCUGCUACAAUGGGACAGGAACUGCACUGGUUAGGGAGUUCUGCUACAAUGGGACAGGAACUGCAAGGGUUAGGGAGUUCUGCUACAAUGGGACAGGAACUGCAAGGGUCAGGGAGUUCUGCUACAAUGGGACAGGAACUGCAAGGGUCAGGGAGUUCUGCUACAAUGGGACAGGAACUGCAAGGGUUGGGGAGUUCUGCUACAAUGGGACAGGAACUGCAAGGGUUGGGGAGUUCUGCUACAAUGGGACAGGAACUGCAAGGGUUAGGGAGUUCUGCUACAAUGGGACAGCAAGAUUCAAGGAGUUCUGCCUCAGUGAGACAUAAACUACAAGGGGCAGAGGGUUUUGCUGCAGUGUCAUGGCAAUUAGAGAGUUCUGAUAUAGUGCGACAAGGAAAUAAAGGGUUAGGAAGAUCUGCUCUAGCAGGACAUGGACAACAAAUGUCAGGGAGUUCUGCUCCAAUGGGUUCUAUUACAAAAACACCGGAACGGCAAAUGCUACUGCAAUUUCCAUAGCAACUUAAAAAAAAAAAAAAAGUGAAAGGCCAUCUACUAACAACAGACCAGUUAUUAACAAAUUGAUUUCUCUCUAUCUUUAUUAAACAAAACUAUCCUAUGCCAUCAGAUACCAAAUGUGACACACAAGUACAUUAAACUGUUUUGUCAGAAAGAAGAAAGGAUGAUCAAGAUCCUUCAGAAGCUGCAGAAACUUUGCAUAUUUGAAUAUUUAUAUUUUGUAAUGAAUUAUAUUAGAUAAACUUCUGAACUUCAGAUAAAUAUAGGCAGAUAUUUUGCAUGUGCAAAUUUUUUAAAGCACGUCUCUUUUAAUGGGAAAAUACCUUUUUGUGAAAUGAUUUGCUUGGAAUAGUCUGUUUCUGUAAAGCAUGUUUCGAUGGAGGGGGGAAAAAAAAGGAUAGGGCCGGUUCUAGACAUUUGGAGGCCCAAGGCAAAAUUCAUGUUGGAGCGCCCCCACCCACAAUAAAAAGCACUUGAAACAAAUAUGAUUCCUAACCUUUGUAUUUAUACAACAUUUGCAUUGAUGCAUUGCAUAAACUUACUUUUACGUACAUUUUUAC
ensembl:lncRNA